rnacentral:rRNA from 1 species
GACGAACGCUGGCGGCGUGCUUAACACAUGCAAGUCGAACGGAAAGGCCUGCAGCUUGCCGCGGGUACUCGAGUGGCGAACGGGUGAGUAACACGUGGGUGAUCUGUCUUGCACUUCGGGAUAAGCUUGGGAAACUGGGUCUAAUACCGGAUAGGACAGCUGUUUAGUGUCAGUUGUGGAAAGUUUUUUCGGUGCAAGAUGAGCUCGCGGCCUAUCAGCUUGUUGGUGGGGUAAUGGCCUACCAAGGCGUCGACGGGUAGCCGGCCUGAGAGGGUGUACGGCCACAUUGGGACUGAGAUACGGCCCAGACUCCUACGGGAGGCAGCAGUGGGGAAUAUUGCACAAUGGGCGGAAGCCUGAUGCAGCGACGCCGCGUGGGGGAUGAAGGCCUUCGGGUUGUAAACUCCUUUCGACAGGGACGAAGCGUAAGUGACGGUACCUGUAUAAGAAGCACCGGCUAACUACGUGCCAGCAGCCGCGGUAAUACGUAGGGUGCGAGCGUUGUCCGGAAUUACUGGGCGUAAAGAGCUCGUAGGUGGUUUGUCGCGUCGUCUGUGAAAUUCCGGGGCUUAACUCCGGGCGUGCAGGCGAUACGGGCUGACUUGAGUGCUGUAGGGGAGACUGGAAUUCCUGGUGUAGCGGUGAAAUGCGCAGAUAUCAGGAGGAACACCGAUGGCGAAGGCAGGUCUCUGGGCAGUAACUGACGCUGAGGAGCGAAAGCAUGGGUAGCGAACAGG